GGAAGGCGCUACAUUCAAAGACAUGUCAAACUGUAACCAGUGCGAGUGUCUGGAGGGCAAGAAAGUCAAUUGUAGAAAAUAUUACUGCUUCGAGCUAACCGAGUGUUACCGAAACAACUUCUUGAUCGGCGAAGGCUCGAGUGACUGCUGUUAUUUUUGCAACUAAAGUCAUCAGCAAACAAUUAUUUGAGACAGAUAAAGCGACGGAAAUAAAGCAUUAUCAUUUUGUUUACCAAUAUUAUCGGGAACAUUAUUAAAGAAUAUAUAAUGUCAACAAAUUUUAAACAGAAGGAGUUCAAUAAAAAAAUAAUUCAAUAAAAAUGAUGUGUACCUAAAAAUUUUAA
rnacentral:sRNA from 1 species